ACCUCCUUUCUAAGGAUGGAUCGGAUAGCGGACCGGCUUUGCUGGUCAUAGUGCUUCCAAUCCUUCUACAGAACAUGCCGUCGUCCUCAUGUCCCUUCAUCACUGGAGAUUAUCACGCUUGAAAGAGUGUGGUAUCUGCCUGAGCCGGCUUUUGCCCCUCGCGGCGUUUGUGCCGCCAGGCGUGCAUGGGCCGGUAGCUCAGGUGGUUAGAGCGCACGCCUGAUAAGCGUGAGGUCGCAAGUUCAACUCUUGCUCGGCCCACCAACUCUCUUGCAUUGAGUAUUCCCCAUUCUUUGAUUGAGUUCCUCAAGGGGCCUUAGCUCAGCUGGGAGAGCACCUGCUUUGCAAGCAGGGGGUCAUCGGUUCGAUCCCGAUAGGCUCCACCAUUCCUGCCUGGCCGAAAGUGGUCAAGGGCGGUUGAGCGGUGGAUGAGGCGCUUUUUGCAAGACUAUCUCCAGAUGAUGAAGACACGGUAUCCGGCCUGUAAGAGGGUCGGUAGUGCGCGGGAGUGAUCUCGUGCUGCUUCUUUGACAUUGUGAAUGGGUUUUUAAUCGAUGCCGUGGCGCAUGGGUUCACACGACUACGGUCGGUGGGUUGCAUGUGUCAUUAACAGAUGAUUGUAUCUGGCUGAGAUUAUCGUCUGCACCUAUGACAACACGGAUUUUAUGCAGAUCUGAUGUUGAUGGUGUGGAUUCUCAAGCGUGAGGUAAGAGCAUUU
rnacentral:tRNA from 1 species